rnacentral:rRNA from 1 species
CCUACGGGCGGCAGCAGUGGGGAAUAUUGCACAAUGGGGGAAACCCUGAUGCAGCGACGCCGCGUGAGUGAAGAAGUAAUUCGUUACGUAAAGCUCUAUCAGCAGGGAAGAAAAUGACGGUACCUGAGUAAGAAGCCCCGGCUAACUACGUGCCAGCAGCCGCGGUAAUACGUAGGUGGCAAGCGUUUUCCGGAUUUACUGGGUGUAAAGGGCGGGGAGCCGGGCUGACAAGUCAUAUGGGAAAACCCGGGGCUCAACCCCCGAACUGCAUUUGAAACUGGUUGUCUUGAGUAUCGGAGAGGAAGGCGGAAAUCCUAGGGGAGGGGGGAAAGGCG